UUGAAAGCUGGCGUCUUCGGCGUCCGCAUUGUAAUCUCAAGAAGUGUUUUCCGCUUCGGACCAUGCCUAAGUCCCUUGGAAAAGGGCAUCAUAGAGGGUGAUAAUCCCGUACAUGGCAUGGAGCGCCCGAAGCUUUGUGAUACGCUUUCUAAGAGUCGAGUUGUUUGGGAAUGCAGCUCAAAAUGGGUGGUAAAUGCCAUCUAAGGCUAAAUAUUGGGGAGAGACCGAUAGCGAACAAGUACAGUGAUGGAAAGAUGAAAAGAACUUUGAAAAGAGAGUUAAACAGUACGUGAAAUUGCCAAAAGGGAAGGGUAGGAGGUCAGAGAUGCGGCCUGGGAUUCAGCCUUGCUUUUGCUUGGUGUUUUUCCCAGAUUGCAGGCCAACGUCGGUUUUGGGCACUGGAGAAGGGUAGGAGGAACGUGGCACCUCUCGGGGUGUGUUAUAGCCUCCUACUGGAUACAGCGACCGAGACCGAGGACAGCAGCGUACUCGCAAGAGCGGGCCUUCGGGCACCUUUACGCUUAGGGCGUUGGCAUAAUGGCCCUCUACCACC
rnacentral:rRNA from 3 species